AAAUAGUUAAGAAGCAAACUAGCUGAUGAACAAGAAUAUAAGAUAGAAAGUAUUUUAUUGCUUUGAUAUGCGUAAAUGUGAUAUGGUUACAAGAUGAUUAGGGCCCUCUUUAUAUAAUAGAGGAAUCCUAUUUAUGGUACAAUUCUAUUACGAAAGUAAAUCCAAUGAUUAACCAAAUAACCGCCUUUGAUUUGAUCUGUUCCGUGAUUUACGCCAUGAUCUUCGGCCAGUCACGAAUAUCUCGUCUUUCUGUUAUUGUGUUUUGCUCGAUGUCUGUCUCAUUUGGCCUCGAUCGCUAUUGGCCUCGAUCUUCGAUAGGUGUCUCGGUCCUCGAACUCGGUGCAUUAUCCUCGUACCUCGGUCUGAUCUGUUGCGAGGCCGACCUUCGAUGCAAUUCCCUAGCCUCGAUCAAACAGUAAAAUCAGAUAUGCCCGAUUUUAACCGUAUAUAAAUAAUAUUUUCAAAUAAAAUCAAUCCAUCAAAACGAUAAAUAGAGAAAAUUAAAAGAGCCAAAAGCAUAUUAUCCAAACACCUUCUAAUGUUGAAAAAACAGCUUCUAAUACUGGAAGCACGUUCUCCAACGGUCCCACCCCCUCCUCACCUGCAAAUGCAAUUCAAAGGAGUGAAACUUGCAAAUGGGCACUUAUAU
rnacentral:lncRNA from 1 species